UGUUAGGUGACAGACUUUCCUUCUCAGAUCCUGGAUCAAUUACUUCAAAGGAAUCUUCUGCAAUAGGGGAAGAGCUUCGGUAGGUCACUGUUAUCGAGAAAUAAGAGCGUCACAACUCAAAUCAUUGCAAGAAAGAGGAAUCCGAUUUCAUUGAUUGAAUAAUUUUUAAGUACAAAAGAAAAAAAAGUUGUAACAAAAGAAAAGUAUAAAAUUAGAGGUCUUGGACCUCUGGAGUGGAAGUGGAGCUCGGUGCCCCCGGAAGGUCGGUCACGGCAGUUGCGACAGUUGAAGAGGUCC
rnacentral:lncRNA from 1 species